AAAGAUGUGUCUUCACACAAUAAAGUAAUCGGAAAAGUAACGAUUACUUCUUUAAGUAAUGUCCGAUUACUUUUGCCGUCGAGUAAUCAAGUAAUCUAAUCGAAUACUUUUUAGCCAAGAGUAAUAGUAAUUGUAAUCGAUUACUUUUUUCUAGUAACGUGUACAAGACUGCAUGUAGCGUUCGAAAGUCGGCGAAACCUAAAGAAAGAAAAAAAAAAAACGUCUCUUCGACUUUUUUUUUUUGCCGUUUUGAGCGCCAUCUGUUGAAAGCUAUAUCACUUACACGAGGGGAGGAAGUUUCCUCCAUUGGGAGAAAAAAAGGUGGCAAUUUUCCUCCUUUCUUAGGGGAGCAAAUUUCCUCCCCGUUUUGUAGGAGGAAAUUUCCUCCCUUUAUAGAGCAAUAUAAGGGACACGCGAGUUCCUCCUUUAAGGGAGGAAGUACUACUCCCUUUUUUUUAGAGUGUGGUACAUGCUUGUUCUUAGUUGCUGGAGCGAUUUCUGUGGUUAACUCCGAUAACGAACGAGACUCUAGCCUAUUAAAUAGGUGCGUGGUUCUCUGCACCUUGCACCCUUCUCAGACGGACAAGCGGCUCCUAGCCGCACGAAACAGAGCAAUAACAGGACUGUGAUGCCUUUAGAUGUCCGGGCGACACGCGCGCUACACUGAAGGAAGCAGCGUGUUUUUAUCCCUGUUUGUUAAGAUAGUAAGCUUAGUAAAAAGUGGCUUGAGCAAAUGCAGAGGGCUAAUUGAAGCCCAUCGGAUUACCCCCGAGCAAG
rnacentral:ncRNA from 1 species